rnacentral:rRNA from 1 species
UACGAACCUUGCUAACGUUAUUCGGAAUUACUGGGCUUAAAGGGUGCGUAGGCGGUGCGGAAAGUUGGGUGUGAAAUCCCUCGGCUCAACCGAGGAAUUGCGCCCAAAACUGCCGCACUAGAGGAAGACAGAGGUACGCGGAACUUAGGGUGGAGCGGUGAAAUGCGUUGAUAUCCUAAGGAACACCGGUGGCGAAAGCGGCGUACUGGGUCUUAUCUGACGCUGAGGCACGAAAGCUAGGGGAGCGAACGGG